ACGAACGCUGGCGGCGCGCUUAACACAUGCAAGUCGAACGGAAAGGCCUGCUUUCCCUUGUGGAUUGCGGGUACUCGAGUGGCGAACGGGUGAGUAACACGUGAGUGAUCUGCCCCCAACUUGGGUAUAAGCCUGGGAAACUGGGUCUAAUUCCCGAUAGGACUGCAGGGUGGUGCCUGUGGUGGAAAACGAUUUUCUAGUGGUUGGGGAUGAGCUCGCGGCCUAUCAGCUUGUUGGUGGGGUAAUGGCCUACCAAGGCGGCGACGGGUAGCCGGCCUGAGAGGGUGGACGGCCACAUUGGGACUGAGAUACGGCCCAGACUCCUACGGGAGGCAGCAGUGGGGAAUAUUGCACAAUGGGCGGAAGCCUGAUGCAGCGACGCCGCGUGGGGGAUGACGGCCUUCGGGUUGUAAACUCCUUCCGACCGCGAGGAAGCCACCUGGUUGGAAGGGUGGUGACGGUAGUGGUAGAAGAAGCACCGGCUAACUACGUG
rnacentral:rRNA from 1 species